rnacentral:rRNA from 1 species
CCCUUAGAUGUUCUGGGCUGCACGCGUGCUGCAAUGGCGCUUGCAACAAGUCUUGCCAACCCGAUAGGGUGAGCGGAUCUUUGAAGAGGCGUCGUGAUCGGGACAGUUGAUUGCAAUUAUUCGACUCGAACGAGGAAUUCCUUGUAAUCGCGAUUCAUCAUAUCGCGCUGAAUACGUCCCUGCCCUUUGUACACACCGCCCGUCGCUCCUACCGAUUGAAUGGUUCGGUGAAGAUCUCGGACUUCGAUAUUUGUUCUUCAUUGAACUUAUAUAGUGGGAAGUUAUCUGAACCUCAUCAUUUAGAGGAAGGUGAAGUCGUAACA